ensembl:lncRNA
GUAGGGCAGGAAUGAUAACAUGGCCAUGGCAACAUGCGUGAGGGUCCCAAGCAUAGAUAUAUAUACAUGUAUAUGUGUCUAUGGUCCCAAGUGUAGAUAUAUAUAUAUGUAUAUGUGUCUAUGGUCCCAAGUGUAGAUAUAUAUACAUGUAUAUGUGUCUAUGGUCCCAAGUGUAGAUAUAUAUACAUGUAUAUGUGUCUAUGGUCCCAAGUGUAGAUAUAUAUACAUGUAUAUGUGUCUAUGGUCCCAAGUGUAGAUAUAUAUACAUGUAUAUGUGUCUAUGGUCCCAAGUGUAGAUAUAUAUAUAUACAUGUACAUGUGUCUAUGGUCCCAAGCGUAGAUAUAUAUAUACAUGUAUAUGUGUCUAUGGUCCCAAGUGUAGAUAUAUAUAUAUACAUGUACAUGUGUCUAUGGUCCCAAGCGUAGAUAUAUAUAUACAUGUAUAUGUGUCUAUGGUCCCAAGUGUAGAUAUAUAUAUACAUGUAUAUGUGUCUAUGGUCCCAAGUGUAGAUAUAUAUAUACAUGUAUGUGUCUAUGGUCCCAAGUGUAGAUAUAUAUAUACAUGUAUAUGUGUCUAUGGUCCCAAGUGUAGAUAUAUAUAUAUACAUGUACAUAUGUCUAUGGUCCCAAGUGUAGAUAUAUAUAUACAUGUAUAUGUGUCUAUGGUCCCAAGUGUAGAUAUAUAUAUACAUGUAUAUGUGUCUAUGGUCCCAAGUGUAGAUAUAUAUAUAUACAUGUACAUAUGUCUAUGGUCCCAGGGGCCUGAAGAGUGUGUUCUAUUUGGAAUGGAACCAUGUAGUCACCGAGGGGAACCAGCCAGAGUUCUGAUAUGGAACAGGAGCAGGAGCUGACCCAGAGCUUUAGGGCAGUGGUUCUCAAACUUUUUGUCAGGGGACCCCAUAAAAUCCAUUUGCCAAGUCUCGCGACCCCCCACACAUUUUGACAGGAUAUUAUAGGUCUAAAUUCAGUUUCAUCUUGAAUGAUGAGACUGCUUGCUGAGACAAUAUCAGUUUUCAUUAUCCACCCUGAUGUAGAAAACACCAUUUCUGAUAGACUAUACAGCAUGUCAAAGCCUAAUAUGUUGAUGCACAGGGCAGCAAGAUCAUUUCGCGACCCCCAAAAAACGUUUGGCGACCCCACUUGGGGUCCCGACCCCUAGUUUGAGAACCACUGCUUUAGGGGAGCUCGAAAUGAAAGGCGCCUCCCAGAAGCCAACGCAAUCAGUGUGUCAUUCCAGGAAGACGAAAUACAUUCUGUCAUUCAUUGACAUUCUGUCCCUCCCUUUCCUUCUUGUGUUUUUUUUUCUACAAAAAAAACUUCCUUGUUGAACUUGUACCAUACAGAUUAAUAAUUACAUGAGUUGAAGAAGUUUGUAUGACAAAUGUAGGCUUUGUUAAGUUUGCUUGCUAAGUAUAGGCAUGCUAUGAAUACAUUCAGGGGUGG